rnacentral:rRNA from 1 species
UACGGAGGGGUCAAGCGUUGUUCGGAUUCAUUGGGCGUAAAGGGUGCGUAGGCGGCGAGGUAAGUCGGGUGUGAAAUCCUGGGGCUCAACCCCAGAACUGCAUUCGAUACUGCUUUGCUCGAGUACUGGAGAGGAGAUUGGAAUUUAUGGUGUAGCAGUGAAAUGCGUAGAUAUCAGAAGGAAGACCAGUGGCGAAGGCGGAUCUCUGGACAGUUACUGACACUGAGGCACGAAGGCCAGGGGAGCAAACGGG